rnacentral:rRNA from 1 species
ACGAACGCUGGCGGCGUGCUUCACACAUGCAAGUCGAACGGAAAGGCCCCUUUGGGGGUACUCGAGUGGCGAACGGGUGAGUAACACGUGAGUAACCUGCCCUUGACUUCGGGAUAACUUCAGGAAACUGGGGCUAAUACCGGAUAGGAAUCCUUGCUGCAUGGUGGGGGUUGGAAAGCUUCGGCGGUUUUGGAUGGACUCGCGGCUUAUCAGCUUGUUGGUGGGGUAGUGGCUUACCAAGGCUUUGACGGGUAGCCGGCCUGAGAGGGCGACCGGCCACAGUGGGACUGAGAUACGGCCCAGACGCCUACGGGAGGCAGCAGUGGGGAAUAUUGCACAAUGGGCGGAAGCCUGAUGCAGCAACGCCGCGUGCGGGAUGACGGCCUUCGGGUUGUAAACCGCUUUCAGCAGGGGCGAAGCUUGUGGUGACGGUACCUGCAGAAGAAGCACCGGCUAACUACGUG